CAGGAUGAACGCUGGCGGCGUGCUUAACACAUGCAAGUCGAACGGUGAAGCCAAGCUUGCUUGGUGGAUCAGUGGCGAACGGGUGAGUAACACGUGAGCAACCUGCCCUGGACUCUGGGAUAAGCGCUGGAAACGGCGUCUAAUACUGGAUAUGAGCCUCUUCCGCAUGGUGGGGGUUGGAAAGAUUUUUUGGUCUGGGAUGGGCUCGCGGCCUAUCAGCUUGUUGGUGAGGUAAUGGCUCACCAAGGCGUCGACGGGUAGCCGGCCUGAGAGGGUGACCGGCCACACUGGGACUGAGACACGGCCCAGACUCCUACGGGAGGCAGCAGUGGGGAAUAUUGCACAAUGGGCGAAAGCCUGAUGCAGCAACGCCGCGUGAGGGAUGACGGCCUUCGGGUUGUAAACC
rnacentral:rRNA from 1 species